rnacentral:rRNA from 1 species
GACGAACGCUGGCGGCGUGCUUAACACAUGCAAGUCGAACGGAAAGGCCCUGCUUUUGUGGGGUGCUCGAGUGGCGAACGGGUGAGUAACACGUGAGUAACCUGCCCUUGACUUUGGGAUAACUUCAGGAAACUGGGGCUAAUACCGGAUAGGAGCUCCUGCUGCAUGGUGGGGGUUGGAAAGUUUCGGCGGUUGGGGAUGGACUCGCGGCUUAUCAGCUUGUUGGUGGGGUAGUGGCUUACCAAGGCUUUGACGGGUAGCCGGCCUGGGAGGGUGACCGGACACAUUGGGACUGAGAUACGGCCCAGACUCCUACGGGAGGCAGCAGUGGGGAAUAUUGCACAAUGGGCGGAAGCCUGAUGCAGCAACGCCGCGUGCGGGAUGACGGCCUUCGGGUUGUAAACCGCUUUCGCCUGUGACGAAGCGUGAGUGACGGUAAUGGGUAAAGAAGCACCGGCUAACUACGUG